GAGCCCCUUCCCAUUCUCUCAGGUGGUGGAGGCCUUCACCUAUCUCGAGACCGGGAGGGCCACGGGGAAGGUCGUCAUCCACCCCAUCUCCUGAGGGGAAACCCUUGCUCAGCUUUCCGUCCCUCUGUGACGACCCAAGUAAUCUUGCACUGUAAAAAUCAAAAGAGGGAGACUUGUUGAUGGCAAAGAAUCGGAGGCAGAGCGGAAGCAAAGUAUCUCUCUCUAGUCCCCGUCCUCCCUCCUCCCCCUCUCCCCCAUCGUCUCGGCGCAGCAAAUGGCGGGCUCUUCGCCCCUCAUCGCCCUCGUGGUGAAGCUGGCCGCCGCCUCCGUCACCGGAGCGGUGGCCCUCCUCGCCUUCCGACGGCACCUCCGCGACGAGGCCCUCUCAGCCCUCCGCCGCGACAUCCGCAGAUCCCUCCUGCGCAUGCGCGCCGACGUGCCGGAGGGCGACUGCGCCGGCACAGGCUGCCGUGCCGCCCCCGCGGCCGUCGUGCUGGGGUUCCCCUCCCACGGCAAGAGCUCCUUCGUGAACACCGCCUGGCGGGCCCUCUCUGGCGAAGAAGGGCCCUUCCUGGCCCGCGCCGAGACGGCCCCCCCGGGGCCGUCGUCCCCUGUAAUUUCUUCCCCGCGCGUCUUUCGCGUGGCGGUGACGGACCCAGACGCCGGCUGGCUCAGUACAGUCAGGGAAGGGGAGAGGGAAGAGGACGACGAUGGGCUGGCGGCUCUGGACCUGGUGGACUCGCCGGGCUUGCCCGGGGCCGAGAAGCUUACGCGCGCCGACGUGGAGGCGGCG
rnacentral:lncRNA from 1 species